GUGGGGAAUAUUGGACAAUGGGCGAAAGCCUGAUCCAGCAAUGCUGCGUGAGUGAUGAAGGCCUUAGGGUUGUAAAGCUCUUUUACCAGGGAUGAUAAUGACAGUACCUGGAGAAUAAGCUCCGGCUAACUCCGUGCCAGCAGCCGCGGUAAUACGGUGGGAGCUAGCGUUGUUCGGAAUUACUGGGCGUAAAGCGCGCGUAGGCGGCGAUUUAAGUCAGAGGUGAAAGCCCGGGGCUCAACCCCGGAAUAGCCUUUGAGACUGGAUUGCUAGAAUCCUGGAGAGGUGAGUAGAAUUCCGGGUGUAGUGGUGAAAUUCGUAGAUAUUCGGAAGAACACCAGUGGCGAAGGCGGCUCACUGGACAGAUAUUGACGCUGAGGUGCGAAAGCGUGGGGAGCAAACAGGAUUAGAUACCCGUGUAGUCC
rnacentral:rRNA from 1 species